UACGUAGGGGCCAAGCGUUGUCCGGAUUUAUUGGGCGUAAAGAGCGUGUAGGCGGCUGGGUAGGUCCGUUGUGAAAACUCGAGGCUCAACCUCGAGACGCCGAUGGAAACCCUCCAGCUAGAGUCCGGAAGAGGAGAGUGGAAUUCCUGGUGUAGCGGUGAAAUGCGCAGAUAUCGGGAGGAACACCGGUGGCGAAGGCGGUUCUCUGGGCCUUACCUGACGCUGAGGAGCGAAAGCGUGGGGAGCGAACAGG
rnacentral:rRNA from 1 species